AAAGCAGAAAAAAAAAAAAGAAAACACGAAACAAAAUAAUAAUAUAGUAAUAACAUACGUAAUAGAAGUAUCGAGACACCCCGCGGUCCGGUUGAGAGAAAUUCAUAAGAAUGGUAGAGUCUCGUCGUGGUCGCAAUAUCGUCAGGGAGUGAGAGUGAGAGUGGCGUCCGUCCUACGGUACCUCCAAAAGGAUUCUUCGAGGGUUCAAAGGAUCCGCAGACACGCGGACAAACUCAGGCAGCGUGGAGCGCUCAGGGAGUGCGUGGCCGCGCGCCGCGGAACUUUGCUUCUAUCAGCCAGGGUGCGCUUUCCUGACCUACUACAGCCGUGACAGCGCGAUCAGUGCCCAGGACGCUCUGCAUGAAAAACGGACUUUACCAGGGGUGAGCAUAUUUUAUAGCUUUUCGGGGGCAUGGAAGGGGGCGAAGGGAGGACAAAUCACAAUUUAUUGAACGUUGAUGCGUAAGUGAAAAAAUUAUAUGAACACCUGAUCCUCGUCGGCAUGCACGUAUAUGUAUACGGUGGAGCGCAGUUGCACCGAAUGCGUAUCGGCGAGGCUCCCGUGCGCGCAUUAGUCUCCGCCGCACAAUGGGCAUUAAAGCGGCAAUCGAGAUGA
rnacentral:misc_RNA from 1 species